rnacentral:misc_RNA from 1 species
GUCCAAGUCAACCAGAGAAGUGAGCGUGCAGAGACAAAGUACGGUAUAAUGUUGUAUUAGUUUGUUAUUUUCUAGUUAAACUACCGUAAACCCUAAAGAUUCAAAUACUCACCACUCUACCUGUCUCGCUCCGCAACCCUCACUCUGUCUGUGUCUCUCUGCCCCUCCUUAUUUUUUCUCUCUCUAAACUCGGAGACGCCCUUUCUGGUUACAGUUGAGCUCCAGCUAGGGUUUAGUUACCUCCAAGAUCAAUCUCGAUUUUUGAAUUUCGGGUUUGGAAUUCAAUUCUUAGUCCAGUUAUUGAUACUUAAUAUUCCGUCUAUGGAUCUCCCUAGCCUAGCUUUAAUCCUUCAAGCUGCCCUCAGCCCCAAUCCCGAUGAACGCAAAGCCGCCGAGCAAAACCUCAAUCAGUUCCAGUACACGCCUCAGCAUCUGGUGAGGUUGCUGCAGAUCAUCGUGGACAAUAAUUGCGAUAUGGCAGUGCGGCAAGUUGCUAGUAUUCAUUUCAAGAACUUCAUUGCAAAGAAUUGGGCACCUCAUGAGCCUGAUGAGCGAUCAAAGAUAUCGCAAAGUGAUAAGGAUAUGGUGAGGGAUCACAUCCUUCUGUUUGUUGUGCAGGUUCCUCCUUUGUUGAGGGUACAGUUGGGUGAGUGCCUCAAGACAAUUAUCCAUGCUGAUUACCCUGAGCAGUGGCCACGUCUUCUGGAUUGGAUCAAACAUAAUUUACAAGAUCAGCAAGUUUAUGGAGCUCUUUUUGUUUUGCGUAUUCUUUCUAGAAAAUAUGAGUUCAAGUCUGAUGAGGAGAGGACCCCUGUUUAUCGUAUUGUUGAGGAGACAUUCCCACACAUUCUCAGUAUUUUCAACAGGCUGGUCCAGAUUGCAAAUCCAUCAUUGGAAGUAGCAGAUUUGAUCAAGCUUAUUUGUAAAAUAUUCUGGUCAUCUAUAUAUUUGGAGAUUCCAAAACAGCUAUUUGAUCCAAAUGUCUUCAAUGCUUGGAUGAUUCUUUUCUUAAAUGUUUUGGAGAGGCCUGUUCCUGCAGAGGGUCAGCCUGUAGAUCAGGAGCUUAGGAAGUCAUGGGGUUGGUGGAAGGUGAAGAAAUGGACAGUUCACAUUUUGAACAGGCUGUACACUCGAUUUGGAGAUUUGAAACUCCAAAACCAAGAAAACAGAGCUUUUGCUCAAAUGUUUCAGAAGAAUUAUGCAGGGAAGAUUUUGGAGUGCCACUUGAAUUUGUUGAAUGUGGUACGUGUUGGUGGAUAUUUACCUGACAGAGUUACAAACCUAAUUCUGCAGUAUAUAAGUAACAGUAUAUCAAAGAAUAGCAUGUAUAAUCUCCUGCAGCCACGUCUUGAUGUGCUUCUUUUUGAGAUUGUUUUUCCUCUUAUGUGCUUCAAUGACAAUGAUCAAAAGCUUUGGGACGAAGACCCUCAUGAAUACGUCAGGAAAGGUUAUGAUAUUAUUGAGGAUUUGUACAGCCCGAGGACUGCUUCGAUGGAUUUUGUCAGUGAAUUGGUUAGAAAACGUGGGAAGGAGAACCUUCAAAAGUUUAUUCAAUUCAUUGUAGAAAUUUUUAAGAGGUAUGAUGAAGCACCAGUAGAAUAUAAACCCUAUCGACAAAAAGAUGGUGCUCUACUCGCUAUUGGAGCACUUUGUGAUAAACUGAAACAAACUGAACCCUACAAAUCUGAACUGGAGCGUAUGUUAGUGCAACAUGUUUUCCCUGAGUUUAGCAGCCCUGUUGGUCAUCUUAGAGCAAAGGCGGCUUGGGUUGCUGGACAAUAUGCUCACAUUAACUUCUCAGACCAGAACAAUUUCCUUAAAGCCUUGCACAGUGUUGUUUCUGGGCUACGUGAUCCAGAGCUUCCUGUUCGUGUUGAUUCAGUUUUUGCAUUGCGAAGCUUUGUUGAAGCUUGCAAGGAUUUAAAUGAAAUCCGCCCUAUUCUUCCUCAACUGCUUGAUGAGUUCUUUAAACUAAUGAAUGAGGUGGAGAAUGAGGACCUGGUUUUUACUCUGGAAACUAUAGUGGAUAAGUUUGGUGAGGAGAUGGCACCUUAUGCCCUAGGCUUAUGCCAGAAUUUGGCUGCUGCAUUUUGGAGGUGUAUGAACACUGCAGAAGCUGAUGAUGAAGCCGAUGAUCCUGGUGCUUUGGCAGCAGUUGGUUGUUUACGAGCUAUAAGCACAAUUCUUGAAUCAGUUAGCAGGCUUCCUCAACUUUUUGUCCAGAUUGAGCCAACUUUGCUGCCUAUAAUGCGUAAAAUGUUGACAACUGAUGGUCAAGAGUUGUUUGAAGAAGUUCUGGAAAUUGUUUCAUAUAUGACCUUUUUCUCUCCAACAAUAUCUCUGGAUAUGUGGAGUCUUUGGCCUUUGAUGAUAGAAGCAUUGGCAGAUUGGGCUAUUGACUUCUUUCCAAGUGCGUAUUCAGUAUUUCUGUGAAAUGCAACGAGUUAUUCCUCUGUUUGGGAUAUCUUUGCUGUUAUCGCUGUAAUUGGUGUUUUACACUUAGGUUGUUAUAUAUAUUGGAAUCACUUAUGGGGAAUUAACAAGAUAUAGUGGGGAAAUUAACUUGUGUGCACCUUUUUACCUCUUGAGGAAAGAAAAACUAAAUGCGAGUAUCUAUUGCACUGACUUAUAACUUGUAACGUUGUGAUUUACAGAACUUCUCCAGACUUUAUUUUCCUCGAAGAAACUUUUGUAUGUUGUUUCUCAUGACUCUCAAUUUCGAUGCAGAUAUUCUGGUUCCCUUGGACAACUACAUAUCAAGGGGAACUGCAAAUUUCCUCGCUUGCAAGGAUCCGGAUUACCAACAAAGCCUUUGGACUAUGAUUUCAUCUAUCAUGGCAGAUAGAAAUUUGGAGGACAAUGAUAUUGAGCCAGCACCAAAGCUGAUUGAAGUUGUUUUCCAGAAUUGUAAAGGUCAGGUGGAUCAGUGGGUUGAGCCAUAUCUGAGAAUCACUGUUGAGCGGUUGCAUCGAGCAGAAAAAUCAUACUUGAAAUGUCUUCUCAUUCAAGUGAUUGCAGAUGCCCUUUACUAUAAUGCAGCUUUGACGCUAAGCAUACUGCAAAAGCGUGGUGUUGCUGCUGAGAUUUUCAACCUUUGGUUCCAGAUGUUGCAACAAGUGAAAAAGAGUGGCGCACGUGCUAAUUUUAAGAGGGAGCAUGACAAAAAAGUUUGUUGCUUGGGGUUGACAUCACUACUUGCACUUCCUGCAACUCAAUUACCAGGAGAGGCCUUGGAGCGUGUUUUCAGGACCACUCUUGAUCUCCUAGUUGCAUAUAAGGAUCAAGUUGCAGAAGCUGCAAAGGCAGAAGAAGCUGAAGAUGAUGAUAUGGAUGGUUUCCAAACUGAUGAUGAAGAUGAUGUUGAAGGGUCUGACAAGGACAUGGGAGUUGAUACUGAGGAUGGAGAUGAAGCUGACAGCAUUAAACUUCAAAAGUUAGCCGCACAGGCAAAGGCUUUCCGUCCACAUGAUGAGGAUGAUGAGGACUCGGAUGAUGACUACAGCGAUGAUGAAGAGUUGCAAUCACCAAUUGACGAGGUGGAUCCUUUCGUUUUCUUUGUUGAUACUGUCAAAGCCAUUCAAGCAUCAGAUCCAUUGAGGUUCCAGAAUCUUACACAGACACUAGACUUCCAUCACCAAGCGCUUGCAAAUGGUGUUGCUCAGCAUGCUGAACAGAGGAGAGCAGAGAUCGAAAAGGAAAGAAUGGAGAAGGCAUCAGCUGCUGUUGCUUCAUAACUUAAAGUGGAUAUGAUGUGGCUCAAGUUUGCAUUGCUUUCACAUUCACUUCAUAUUCCAUUCAUUUAAGUUAUGUUAUGGAUGGAUGGAGAGUCAUUGCCAGUCUCUUAAGCGUAUUUAAUUGGUUCUACGGUCAUGGAGAGGUCAGUAGGCCCUGAAGGGUUUUUCAUGUUAAGAUUAUUGGUUCAAUACAUGCCUCAGUUCCCAUACGCUUAGUGGAUUGUGGGAUGGAGAACUUUGUGCUGUAAUUCUGCCAUGGUUUUGAGCCAUUCAUUUUUUUCCGAGUCUGGCCGAUUCUAUGUCAGAAGAGGCCUUUCUCACCAAGUCUGUGAUGUUAUUUUACUUUUUUUUUUUUCCUUUUGGUCCUUUUUUUGUGGGGGGGUCCUCUUGUUGUUUAUAGUGACGAUGUCUGUGUGGUUUGCCCACUGGCGAUAUUGGCAUGUUAUCCCCUGGACAUCGUGCUUUUUCGUGUUGUGAAAAGCAACUAGGGCUUCAGGCGUGGAGUAUAAGGUUUGGUAACGUCAGACGAAUGGAUAAAAUCAUUUGGUAUGGUGGAUGGAUGUAAUGAUAUUUUUUUGGUAAAGGGUAGCAGAUAUUCUUUUUGCAAAUUUUGUAAUGAGUAUAGUCUACGAAACACUGAAAAUAUUGGUUUAGUUUUGAGUUUUGGAGUUUUGGGUUUAUUGCCGGGGGGUUUCUAAGGGUAGCGUUUGCUACAGCUUGUAAAACAGUCGAUAUUCUUUUUAUAAUGUGGUUGAAUGAAGAGGUAGUAAUUGGUUUGUAUAGGAGUGCUUAGCAUUUAUCGUCUCUCUCUGAUUAUGCUUGCUUGUUGCUAAUUUAUCAUGCGUGUGUACGUGAAUAAAAGUU